rnacentral:rRNA from 1 species
GAUGAACGCUGGCGGCGUGCCUAAUACAUGCAAGUCGAGCGAACAGAUGAGAAGCUUGCUUCUCUGAUGUUAGCGGCGGACGGGUGAGUAACACGUGGGUAACCUACCUAUAAGACUAGGAUAACUCCGGGAAACCGGGGCUAAUAACGGAUAAUAUUUUGAACCGCAUGGUUAAAUAGUGAAAGACGGUUUCGGCUGUCAAUCAUAGAUGGACCCGCGCCGUAUUAGCUAGUUGGUAAGGUAACGGCUUACCAAGGCGACGAUACGUAGCCGACCUGAGAGGGUGAUCGGCCACACUGGAACUGAGACACGGUCCAGACUCCUACGGGAGGCAGCAGUAGGGAAUCUUCCGCAAUGGGCGAAAGCCUGACGGAGCAACGCCGCGUGAGUGAUGAAGGUCUUCGGAUCGUAAAACUCUGUUGUUAGGGAAGAACAAAUUUGUUAGUAACUGAACAAGUCUUGACGGUACCUAACCAGAAAGCCACGGCUAACUACGUGCCAGCCGCCGCGGUAA